rnacentral:rRNA from 1 species
UACAGAGGUGGCAAGCGUUGUUCGGAAUUACUGGGCGUAAAGGGCGCGUAGGCGGCCUCGCAAGUCCCGUGUGAAAUCCCUCGGCUCAACUGAGGAAUGGCACGGGAAACUGCGGAGCUUGAGUUCGGGAGAGGGAAGCGGAAUUCCGGGUGUAGCGGUGAAAUGCGUAGAUAUCCGGAGGAACACCGGUGGCGAAGGCGGCCCUCUGGACCGGUACUGACGCUGAUGCGCGAAAGCGUGGGGAGCAAACGGG